rnacentral:rRNA from 1 species
UACGUAGGGGGCAAGCGUUGUCCGGAAUCAUUGGGCGUAAAGCGCGUGUAGGCGGCCAGGUAAGUCCGUUCUGAAAGCCCGGGGCUCAACCCCGGGAGGCGGAUGGAUACUGCUUGGCUCGAGUCCGGAAGAGGCGAGUGGAAUUCCCGGUGUAGCGGUGAAAUGCGCAGAUAUCGGGAGGAACACCAAUGGCGAAGGCAGCUCUCUGGCCUCACCCUGACGCUGAGGCGCGGAAAGCGUGGGGAGCAAACA